UACGUAGGGGGCAAGCGUUGUCCGGAAUCAUUGGGCGUAAAGCGCGUGUAGGCGGUCCGGUAAGUCCGCUGUGAAAGUCGGGGGCUCAACCCUCGGAUGCCGGUGGAUACUGUCGGGCUUGAGUACGGAAGAGGCGAGUGGAAUUCCUGGUGUAGCGGUGAAAUGCGCAGAUAUCAGGAGGAACACCAGCGGCGAAGGCGGCACUCUGGGCUGGAACUGACGCUGAGGAGCGAAAGCGUGGGUAGCAAACAGG
rnacentral:rRNA from 1 species